rnacentral:rRNA from 1 species
CCCGCUGAACUUAAGCAUAUAACUAAGCGGAGGAAAAGAAACUAACAAGGAUUCCCUUAGUAACGGCGAGUGAACCGGGAAAAGCUCAGACUGAAAACCUUCGGGGAUGUGGUCUGGAGAUGGGAUAUCGAAUCUUCGGAAGCUGAUAAAGUGGUCUGGAAUGACCCGCCGUGGAGGGUGACAGCCCCGUUCGUAUCAGUGGAAAGGGAAAGUAGAUACCUAUCAACGAGUCGAGUUGUUUGGGAUUGCAGCUCAAAGCGGGAGGUAAAUUCCUUCUAAAGCUAAAUAUCGAUAGGAGACCGAUAGCAAACAAGUACCGUGAGGGAAAGAUGAAAAGCACUUUGAAAAGAGAGUGAAAUAGUACGUGAAAUUGCUGAAAAGGAACCGCUGGGAAGCAGUGUGAUGGGCGGAGAUUCAUCUCUGCCAUAUCAAGUGAGGCUUGUUUCGAAGGCAAGGGAAAAGGUAUAGAAGACUCGUCUUUUGUUCACCUGCCGAGCCUUGGAAUGACUCUCACGAAAUGCUUCUCAUCAACCCGUCUUGAAACACGG